CUUAUGUAUGAGAUUCUUCUAUGAAAGGACAUGUCAAAAAAAAAAAAUCAGUGGGCAGUAUACAAUGUUUGCAUGCUAGCUGUCAUUGAAAACAUUUGAGAAGAGGAAAGCAAUUCAAUUAAUUCAUCAGCAAAGGUACAACCACAAGUAACGGCCAAGUAAUUUACCAAAAUGCCGAGCAGAGAUGGAUGACCAAAUGGAUGACUGUACUUCUAAUUCUGAUGUGAGACUGAAGCGAGACGUUCAUAAACUGAGGAGACUAUAAGCGAAACAACGUGGAGUGACCUUGCUGCGGAUCUGGAGAAAAAACGAGAUGUGGUACCUUGUGGUAUGCACAUAAUAAAUUAUUGUAUUACUCUAUUACGUUUAGCGUGUAUGUUUACAUUGAGUAUCUGUCAUAUGCGGAGAUAUUGUUAUUGUUGUCUGGAGUGUGAAUCAUUGUAUGUAAUAUUGAAGUAUCGGUAAUAAAGUGUAUACAAAUAAUGAA